rfam:Sarcophilus harrisii ctg7180002418784, whole genome shotgun sequence.
UUUGCAUUAAUGAGGAUAGAAGCGUAAACUAUAACUUAGGGGCUUCUGUUGGAUUGUUUGCAAU